rnacentral:tRNA from 1 species
GGGCGUGUGCCGGAGUGGCCAAACGGGCCAGACUGUAAAUCUGGUGGCUUAACUGCCUACGGUGGUUCGAAUCCACCCGCGCCCA